rnacentral:snRNA from 1 species
GUGCUCGCUUUGGCAGCACAUAUACUAAAAUUGGAACAAUACAGAAAAGAUUAGUAUGGCCCCUGCACAAGAAUGACAGCCAAACUCAUGAAGCAUUCCAUUUUUUUU